GUGGAGUCGUUGUUGAAAUACCACUCUGAUCGUAUUGGACCUCUAACCUCGGACCAUGAUCUGGUUCAGGGACAGUGCCUGGUGGGUAGUUUAACUGGGGCGGUUGCCUCCCAAAAUGUAACGGAGGCGCCCAAAGGUUCCCUCAGCCUGGUUGGCAAUCAGGUGUCGAGUGCAAGUGCACAAGGGAGCUUGACUGUGAGACUGACAGGUCGAGCAGGGACGAAAGUCGGGACUAGUGAUCCGGCACCGGCAUGUGGAAGCGGUGUCGCUCAACGGAUAAAAGGUACCCCGGGGAUAACAGGCUGAUCUUCCCCAAGAGUCCAUAUCGACGGGAUGGUUUGGCACCUCGAUGUCGGCUCGUCGCAUCCUGGGGCUGGAGUAGGUCCCAAGGGUUGGGCUGUUCGCCCAUUAAAGCGGCACGCGAGCUGGGUUUAGAACGUCGUGAGACAGUUCGGUCUCUAUCCGCCGCGCGCGUUAGAAACUUGAGGAAGGCUGUCCCUAGUACGAGAGGACCGGGACGGACGAACCUCUGGUGUGCCAGUUGUCCCGCCAGGGGCAUGGCUGGUUGGCUACGUUCGGAAGGGAUAACCGCUGAAAGCAUCUAAGCGGGAAGCCUGUUCCAAGAUGAGGUUUCUCACCCCCUCGAGGGGGUAAGGCCCCCGGCAGACCACCGGGUUGAUAGGCCGGAACUGGAAGCCCAGCAAUGGGUGGAGGUGACCGGUACUAAUAGGCCGAGGACUUACCAC
rnacentral:rRNA from 1 species